UUGGUUAUAGUACAUAUGUUAAAUAGAAAUGGACUAAGGAUACUUCCCUGAGCGACACCUGUUUGUAUUUGUCGUGUAGAUGAUAU
rnacentral:lncRNA from 1 species